CCGAUCGCGUUCUACACGUAGGACACCGAGAACCGUAUGGAGAGUUGGGGGUCGCUCCGUUGAGAGCGUCAAACGAUGGGAGCGCCCCGUUUCGGGGUUGAUUCUCACGGCCCCCACGUUUAAUUUUUUUACCAUCCUUUCAACACCUUUACUGCAGAAAACUUGUCCGUUCCAAACGGAUAAAAUCUUAAAAGUUC
rnacentral:misc_RNA from 1 species